ACUACAAGUCGUCUUAUCGCUUUAUGAAAAUAAAGAGGAAAGUCUGGGCAACACAGAGCAACUUGCUUCCUAACGGGAAGGCAGCUAAAAAACUGACAGCCAGUGCCACAGAAAACAAACCGCCUGAAAAGGUAAGGGUGAAAAGGUAGUGUAAGAGACUACCGCUUUGUUGGUGACAACAAAGGCAGGGUAAACCUCAAGUGUUGAAAGACCAAAUAAGCCGAUGUUUACUUUUUUGUAAAAAAGGUUGCUCGCCUGAGUCGGCGGGUAGGUCGAUAAAGGCUUACUGUGAAGUAAGUCUUAGAUAAAUGAUAAGAAGCACAAUUUUUGUGUUACAGAACCCGGCUUACAGACUUGUAGUUUUU
rnacentral:RNase_P_RNA from 1 species